GAUGAACGCUGGCGGCAUGCCUAAUACAUGCAAGUAGAACGCUGAAGGAGGAGCUUGCUCUUCUGGAUGAGUUGCGAACGGGUGAGUAACGCGUAGGUAACCUGCCUGGUAGCGGGGGAUAACUAUUGGAAACGAUAGCUAAUACCGCAUAACAGUAGAUAUUGCAUGAUAUCUGCUUGAAAGGUGCAAUUGCAUCACUACCAGAUGGACCUGCGUUGUAUUAGCUAGUUGGUGAGGUAACGGCUCACCAAGGCGACGAUACAUAGCCGACCUGAGAGGGUGAUCGGCCACACUGGGACUGAGACACGGCCCAGACUCCUACGGGAGGCAGCAGUAGGGAAUCUUCGGCAAUGGACGGAAGUCUGACCGAGCAACGCCGCGUGAGUGAAGAAGGUUUUCGGAUCGUAAAGCUCUGUUGUAAGAGAAGAACGAGUGUGAGAGUGGAAAGUUCACACUGGACG
rnacentral:rRNA from 1 species